AAAAAAUGCAUACAUUAAUUUUUUUUAAAUCUAUGCAAUAGAAAAAUGAAAAUCCUGUGCAAAACUGCACACUGUCGCUGGCACUGAUAAAAGAACCUUCACUGACAACAGAUGCCACUGUGUAACUGGAAAAUUGGAACAUUUCCAAAUAAUAUAAAAAUAUCUCCAAGUGAUGUUAUUCAAAGAAAGGAAUAAAAAUCCCUGAGUAGGCCAAAGACAACAGAGACAAUAACCUAAGAAAAUAGAUUAUCCAGGACCAGAGAGUAUAUUAUUUAGCUAGUUGGUAUAUAUGUAUUCAUAUGCAGCUAUGUGUAUAUCUAAAUAUAUAUACUUACACAUAUUCCACACAAACACAUCCACUAGGUUUAGAAUUCAUCAUCUCACACAUCAUCAAACUAAGAGCUAAGACCAAUUUAUAAAAAUCAAGCACUUUUAUGACAGAAUUACACGGAUUUAGGGCUAGAAAUUCUCUCAUUUCAAUACUAGAACACGUACAGUAGGCACUCAAUAAAUAUUUGUUGGGUGGAUAGAUGGCUGGAUGAAUGGAAAGAUGAAUUUUUGAAACUAGAGCAUUACUUCUUCUUGUAUCAUGUUAUGCUUUAGAAACAUGCUAUUCCACGACCAUAAAUGGCACACCCUCCUCAAACUAGAAAUAGAUUAGUCCAGCAGUAUAGCUCUUCUGAGUUUUAGUCAGAAAGAAUGAAGUGCUGGCUUGUUAUCCAGGCAAGCAAACUUCACUAUCAUGGACUUUUUAGGUCAAAUAAAAAUGAUAAAUGUUCUUAUAAUCUGGAACCCAGAAAGACAAACUAUCCAUGUUAAUGCAUGUUUUAUCACAUAAUCUAUUUAAAUUCAGAAAAAGUUAUUAACAAAUAAAUGCUGCAUCUAUGCCAAUAGCUACUGUUAUAGAUUUGGAAACAAGUGGAAACUUUAGGCUUCUUAGAAGUCUUUACUUCCCUUCUGCUGAUAAACAUUCAUGAUAAAGACAAACUAAAAAAAAAAAAAAAAAAAAAAAAAAAAAAAAAAUCAUAGAUUACUUGUCCUUUCCUUAUUUUUUAAAAAACUUCUCAGCUUGGUAAAACAUCCUGAAAGUAUUUCCUUCAUUUUUUUCUUUCCUUCUCCAAAAGCAGUUUAUAUUUUAGAUAAAGCCAUGAACACAAAAAGUUUUGUUUCAAAUCACCCCUCCAUAAGAAAAUACCAACACAUUAUUAUGCAUUUGAGCACAGUAAACAUAAGAAAAAAUCCUUCAAACAUAGUAUUUGUUUUUAUGAUAAACUUGGGGACAAAUAAAAAAGAGGGGGAGAGAGAGAAAGGGGAGAGAGAAGAGGGUGGGGUUUGAGAUAGUAUUGUAUGCUUAACCUAAAGCAUAUUUAUGUAAUCACUAGAUUGUUAAAAUAAUAGCAGAAUAGGGGUUUGUUUAAAGGUCUCAGCAGUUCUCUCUGCAGCAAAGUCAUUUAAAUUAACUACUGAGUGAAGCAAGUAUGCCAACAUGUAAGAAAUCUGAAGAGACUGAACAUUCAGGUCUUGAGAAUUUCCUAGAAGCAGCCUAUAAGUUUUGUCAGUUUAUAAAGUUUGAUAAUCCUUGAGGAGGUGACAUUGCACAAAUUUCUGUGUGUGUCUGAGACAGAGAGCAAGGCAUAGGAAAGGGUCAACAUCAAAACAGUUCGUGGUCUAUGUUAACUUUGACUUUAAUUCAGUACAUUACCAAAUUAUGCCCACAAAGGAACGAUCACCAUUAAAUAUAUUUAUGAAAAUAUGGAAAAAUAGUGUAGAGGCAUGGAAUUUGACAAGUACAAGGUAUUGGACUGAGUUUUCAUAUUGAUAUGUAUAUAUACACACAUUCACACCCCUACACAUAUACACUUCAGUUACUUGUGAUUCUUAUUAAUUUAGUUUCGUUAGUUUCCUUUUGGGCAUUGAGAUUUUUUUAAUGAUUCUAGCAUCUGCAGGAUGAAAAAACUCUACUGCUUGGGCCACAGAUGACAACAGGUGUACACGGUGAGUCUUCAUCUUCUGAAAAGUGGCCUUGCUCGUUGGUACAACUGGAACUUCAGUUACUCACACAAGUCUCGGAAGAGGGCCUGCGGGGAGGUAUGGGAAUAAGACAGUUGAGGCAGGGCCC
rnacentral:lncRNA from 1 species